AUAGAUUGGCUGAUUCAUGUCACAAAUUCUAUUGCUCCGGCGAUUUCCUCUACCUUGCUACCUAGCUUGAAGGCUAAGUGAUUAGAGUUUUUUUUUUUUUUUUUAAAUCGCCAAAAGUCUAUUUACAUGCAUAUCUUCACUUGUAUGUACAUACUUAUUGAUACAUAUACAUACAUGUGGUAGUUCCUUAAUAGGAAGAAUAGUUUUUCUCCACUCUUUUUUCUCUCAUACUGCAUACAGAGACUCAUGCCAGCAAUUUGGCUAAAAGAAAUACUGGAUUAUGGUCUCUCAUGCUUUUCUACGGAUCUUUGAGGUACUACUACACGCUAGCUUCUUUUUAUAGUAUAAUUAAAACUUGAAAGACUUGUCUUAAGUCUUAACCUCUUAAUUCUUAAUUAGAUACGAUUUUUCUUUCAUUUCACUUGAAUAUCUUGGGUGCAUCAUACUAAUUUAUUUUUGGAUAAUAUUAGUUAUUGUGAGAAAAUUCUAAGCCAAAAUUGUUUUUUUUUCCUGGCAAUGGAUAUUAUUAGAGCAAGAACUAUAGAAAAUACAUUUAAUUUGAGUCACAAGAUUCUCAAUAGAAACUUUUUUCAGCCCAUCCUGUAACAUAAGGCAAACGGCUUAAUUAGAGGUAAGUGGUAGGAUCGUGUUAUUUAAUUCUCUUUAUACUAUUUCACAUACUUUAUUUUUUGAAAAAAAAAAAAAAUUAUCUCACGACAAUUCUGUAACGCUUGGGUCUGUCCAUAAAGAAUUUGUAAAUAGGAACAUUUCUACACUUGGAAUUGCUUUUAGGUUUUGACGUUUUACGCAGCCACAAGUGUUCGGGGUUCGGAUGAAUGUGCAAAAUCAAUUUAACCUUGUCCUUCUAAGAUGCCAUAACUCAAGAUAGUGGAGAAUUUGAUGUAUUUUCAGAAAAGUUGCUAAAGACUCUUCAAAUAAAGAGAAUCUACAUCAAAGUCAAAGUUUUGAAAAAAGUGCUAAGAAGGAUUUUUCUACAGCGAUUUUGGAGUACAAGAAAGCUGCGAAUAAGCUCAUAGUAGACGAGGCUGUCAACGAUGAUAACUCUGUUAUUGCCUUACACCCAGCUACUAUGGAGAAACUACAGCUUUUCUCAUCAAGUGUGUAAAGCUGCAUAAACCUCUUGCCGAAUAAGUUUCAAACUGACAGG